rnacentral:rRNA from 1 species
CCUACGGGAGGCUGCAGUGGGGGAUAUUGCACAAUGGGGGAAACCCUGAUGCAGCGACGCCGCGUGUAGGAAGACGGUCCUCUGGAUUGUAAACUACUGUCCCCAGGGACGAAGAUGACGGUACCUGGGGAGGAAGCUCGGGCUAAAUACGUGCCAGCAGCCGCGGUAAUACGUAGGGAGCGAGGGUUGUCCGGAAUUACUGGGGGUAACGGGAGCGUAGGCGGGGAUGCAAGUUGGGUGUAAAAUCUACCGGCUAAACUGGUAGUCGCACUUGAAACUGCAGCUCUGGAGUGAAGUAGAGGCAGGCGGAAUUCCUAGUGUAGCGGUGAAAUGCGUAGAUAUUAGGAGGAACACCAGUGGCGAAGGCGGCCUGCUGGACUUUUACUGACGCUGAGGCUCGAAAGUGUGGGGAGCAAACAGGAUUAGAUACCCUGGUAGUC